rnacentral:rRNA from 1 species
AUUGAACGCUGGCGGCAGGCCUAACACAUGCAAGUCGAGCGGAUGAAGGGAGCUUGCUCCUGGAUUCAGCGGCGGACGGGUGAGUAAUGCCUAGGAAUCUGCCUGGGAGUGGGGGAUAACGUCCGGAAACGGGCGCUAAUACCGCAUACGUCCUGAGGGAGAAAGUGGGGGAUCUUCGGACCUCACGCUAUCAGAUGAGCCUAGGUCGGAUUAGCUAGUUGGUGGGGUAAAGGCCUACCAAGGCGACGAUCCGUAACUGGUCUGAGAGGAUGAACAGUCACACUGGAACUGAGACACGGUCCAGACUCCUACGGGAGGCAGAAGUGGGGAAUAUUGGACGAUGGGCGAAAGCCUGAUCCAGCCAUGCCGCGUGUGUGAAGAAGGUCUUCGGAUUGUAUAGCACUUUAAGUUGGGAGGAAGGGCAGUAAGUUAAUACCUUGCUGUUUUGACGUUACCAACAGAAUAAGCACCGGCUAACUUCGUG